rnacentral:rRNA from 1 species
CUGCGGGAACGGCAGCUAAGACCGGAUGUGCCUGCGGGUGAAAUAUUCAUAGCCAAAAGAGGAGCUCGCGACCGAUUAGCUAGUUGGUGGGGUAAGAGCCUACCAAGGCUGCGAUCGGUAGCCGGUUUGAGAGGACGACCGGCCACACUGGGACUGAGACACGGCCCAGACUCCUACGGGAGGCAGCAGUGGGGAAUUUUCCGCAAUGGGCGAAAGCCUGACGGAGCAAUACCGCGUGAGGGAGGAAGGCUCUUGGGUCGUAAACCUCUUUUCUCAGGGAAGAAGCAAUGACGGUACCUGAGGAAUCAGCAUCGGCUAACUCCGUGCCAGCAGCCGCGGUAAUACGGAGGAUGCAAGCGUUAUCCGGAAUGAUUGGGCGUAAAGCGUCCGCAGGUGGCACAUCAAGUCUGCUGUCAAAGCCCCCAGCUUAACUGGGAAGAGGCGGUGGAAACUGGUGAGCUAGAGAGCAAUAGGGGUAGAGGGAAUUCCCGGUGUAGCGGUGAAAUGCGUAGAGAUCGGGAAGAACACCAGUGGCGAAAGCGCUCUACUAGGUUGCAACUGACACUGAGGGACGAAAGCUAGGGGAGCGAAUGGGAUUAGAUACCCC